AGUAUACUUCCUCCGUUCGAUAAAAGAUGUCUGCAGUUUGUCAAAAUUUGGAUGUAUCUAGACAUGACUUAGUGUAUAGAUGCAUUCAAAUUUAAUCAAAAUUGAAAUAUUCUUUGUUGAACAGAGGAAUAUAAG
rnacentral:pre_miRNA from 1 species